UGUGCCAGCAGCCGCGGUAAUACAGAGAGUGCAAGCGUUAAUCGGAAUCACUGGGCGUAAAGCGCGCGUAGGUGGAUGUUUAAGUCGGAUGUGAAAGCCCUGGGCUUAACCUAGGAAUUGCACCCGAUACUGGGUAUCUUGAGUAUGGUAGAGGGAAGUGGAAUUUCCGGUGUAGCGGUGAAAUGCGUAGAUAUCGGAAAGAACACCAGUGGCGAAGGCGACUUCCUGGACUAAUACUGACACUGAGGCGCGAAAGCGUGGGGAGCAAACAGGAUUAGAGACCCUGGUAGUCCACGCCGUCAACGAUGAGAACUAGCUGUUGGGAAGUUCACUUCUUAGUAGCGAAGUUAACGCGUUAAGUUCUCCGCCUGGGGAGUACGGCCGCAAGGUUAAAACUCAAAGAAAUUGACGGGGGCCCGCACAAGCGGUGGAGCAUGUGGUUUAAUUCGAUGCAACGCGAAAAACCUUACCUACCCUUGACAUCCUCGUUUCUUGUCACGAGAUGACUUGGCCCCUUCGGGAACCGAUUGACAGGUGCGCCAUGGCUGUCGUCAGCUCGGGUCGUGAGAGGAGGGGGUAAGUCCCGUAACUAGCGCAACCCUCCUCCUUAGGUGCCAGUGAGUCACGUCGGGAACUCUAAGGAGCCCUCCGGCGAUAAACCGGAGGAAGCUGGGGAAGAUGUCAAGUCAUCAUGCCCCUUACGGGUAGGGCUACACACGUGCUACAAUGGGCCGUCAAAAGGGUGUGCAAGUUGUUAGGCGGAGCAAAUCCCCAAAAAAGCCCCGUGGUCCGGGCUGGAGUCUGCAACUCGUUUUACAGAAAGCAAGCGUUCUAGUAAUUGUGAUUCAGCAUGAUAAUACAAAUACGUUCUCGGGCUUCCACACCCCGCCAGGCACGCCAGGGGACUGAACGUACCAAAAGCGGGUGGUUAACAUUUUGGUGGCCACUAACCA
rnacentral:rRNA from 1 species